GGAAGAAAAUGGAGAAACAAAAGCCGGGUGUAGUGGUGCUGUCCUGUAAUCCCAGCACUCGGGGAGGUGGAGGCAGGCAGAUCUCUGUGGGUUAGAGGGCAGCCUGGGCUACAAAGUGAGGCCAGGACAGCCAAGGCUACACAGAGAAAUUCUGUCUCGAAAAAAAAAAAACAAAAACAAAAAAACAAAACAAACAACGACAACAAAAUGAAAGGUGGAGAAACAGGACGUGAUGGAGCAGAUCCAGCCCAGACAGGCCGCUCGAGUGUCGGAUGGCUGCCUGCUUGCUGUACACACCGGGCUGAAAAUAGCUUCUGGCACGGGCGAGGCGCUCACUCAGCAAAUACCUCUUGAAUGAACAAAUCAAUGCGCUCCCUCCAGAAAACUGAGAUCCCGCGGCUUUGCAAUCGGCAUUCUGACUUCAUCCUUCGGAGCAGGAGUUUUGUUGGGUGGGUUUCCUCAUCCCUUGGCCCUCCCUCUCUUGCUGGAUAUGCCAUGGCUGUGAAAUAGGUAUGUCUGCUCUCCUCACAGGCCCCUGCAAGCCUGCCGUUCUCUAUAGAGCUGUUCCUCUCAUCCAGAAUAGCUUUUCUCUAAGAGAUGCCCGGCGGUGCUCAGGGAGACAGAGGCAGGUGGAUCGCUGUGAGUUCGAAGCCAGCCUGGUCUAAAAAGAGAAUCUCGAAAAGCCGAGAGAGAGAAAGGGGAGGGAGAAAGGGGAGGGGGGCUGGAGAGGUCACAGAGAGCUUUUUGAGGCCCCGUUUGAGCGCUACUACCCCCUGCCUCCUCCUCUUACAUUCUGUUUUCCCUGGCGCUGGGUUUAACCUCCGGUGAGAGAGGAAUGAGGGAGCUCAACUCUCACCCUGCACCUUCCUGGAGCAACCUCUAGAGGGCAGUCUCACACCGCGCUCAGCCUUUUCUACCACAGCCCCUCUGCAUGCACGCGUGGAUGAAUCAAUCGGUGGGUCGUUGGGUGGGUAGGUGGUGAGUGGACAGGUAAGCGGAGUCGGUACAGUCCACCUGGUCUUCGGACUUGGCAACUUCUGAAACAGGCGUCUAACCUGACUGCUUUAGCAAUGGCAAUAGACCCAUUCCUUAGCCUCAUAGUCUUAGGUUGGGGACCAUGAUUGAAACUUGGAAAAAUACACACACACACACACACACACACACACAGA